UCAGACAGACAAGCCAUAGCGUGCGAGGCAACUCGCCCGAGGAAAGUCCGGACUGCAAGGAACAGGAUAGCGGCUAACGACCGCCGGGGGCAACCCCAGGACUAGUGCCACAGAGACGAGCCGGUUCAGACCGGAGUGAAACGCGGCAAACUCUAUCCGCAGCAAUUCCAAAUAGAUCUGCAUAUACGCGUUCCUCGUUGCAGAUGGGUAGGAAGCUUGACCAUCAUAGCAAUAUGAAUGGCAGAUGAAUUAUGGCAUAGAACAGAAUCCGGCUUAGGGUUUGUCUGAUAAA
rnacentral:RNase_P_RNA from 1 species